AGAGUUUGAUCCUGGCUCAGGACGAACGCUGGCGGCGUGCCUAACACAUGCAAGUCGAGCGAUGAAGUUCCUUCGGGAACGGAUUAGCGGCGGACGGGUGAGUAACACGUGGGUAACCUGCCUCAAAGAGGGGGAUAGCCUCCCGAAAGGGAGAUUAAUACCGCAUAACAUUAUUUUCUCGCAUGAGAAGAUAAUCAAAGGAGCAAUCCGCUUUGAGAUGGACCCGCGGCGCAUUAGCUAGUUGGUGAGGUAACGGCUCACCAAGGCGACGAUGCGUAGCCGACCUGAGAGGGUGAUCGGCCACAUUGGAACUGAGACACGGUCCAGACUCCUACGGGAGGCAGCAGUGGGGAAUAUUGCGCAAUGGGGGAAACCCUGACGCAGCAACGCCGCGUGAGUGAUGAAGGUCUUCGGAUUGUAAAGCUCUGUCUUUGGGGACGAUAAUGACGGUACCCAAGGAGGAAGCCACGGCUAACUACGUGCCAGCAGCCGCGGUAAUACGUAGGUGGCAAGCGUUGUCCGGAUUUACUGGGCGUAAAGAGUAUGUAGGCGGAUAUUUAAGUCAGAUGUGAAAUUCCCGGGCUUAACCUGGGCGCUGCAUUUGAAACUGGGUAUCUAGAGUGCGGGAGAGGAAAGUGGAAUUCCUAGUGUAGCGGUGAAAUGCGUAGAGAUUAGGAAGAACACCAGUGGCGAAGGCGACUUUCUGGACCGUAACUGACGCUGAGAUACGAAAGCGUGGGGAGCAAACAGGAUUAGAUACCCUGGUAGUCCACGCCGUAACGAUGAAUACUAGUGUCGGGGGGUACCACCCUCGG
rnacentral:rRNA from 1 species